rnacentral:rRNA from 1 species
AGUGUAGGUGGCUCAUUAAGUCACAUGUGAAAUCCCCGGGCUUAACCUGGGAACUGCAUGUGAUACUGGUGGUGCUAGAAUAUGUGAGAGGGAAGUAGAAUUCCAGGUGUAGCGGUGAAAUGCGUAGAGAUCUGGAGGAAUACCGAUGGCGAAGGCAGCUUCCUGGCAUAAUAUUGACACUGAGAUUCGAAAGCGUGGGCAGCAAACA